GACGAAGGGGGGCUAGCGUUGUUCGGAAUUACUGGGCGUAAAGGGCUCGUAGGCGGCCAACUAAGUCAGACGUGAAAUCCCUCAGCUUAACUGGGGAACUGCGUCUGAUACUGGAUGGCUUGGAUUUGGGAGAGGAAUGCGGAAUUCCAGGUGUAGCGGUGAAAUGCGUAGAUAUCUGGAGGAACACCGGUGGCGAAGGCGGCAUUCUGGACCAAUAUUGACGCUGAGGAGCGAAAGCCAGGGGAGCAAACGGGG
rnacentral:rRNA from 1 species